UACGUAGGUGGCAAGCGUUAUCCGGAUUUACUGGGUGUAAAGGGCGUGUAGGCGGGGACGCAAGUCAGAUGUGAAAACCACGGGCUCAACCUGUGGCCUGCAUUUGAAACUGUGUUUCUUGAGUACUGGAGAGGCAGACGGAAUUCCUAGUGUAGCGGUGAAAUGCGUAGAUAUUUGGAGGAACACCAGUGGCGAAGGCGGUCUGCUGGACAGCAACUGACGCUGAGGCGCGAAAGCGUGGGGAGCAAACAGG
rnacentral:rRNA from 1 species